AGUUGGAUCCACACCAUUUGUGUUUCUAUCCGGUCGAAUCACUAUUGAGAUUCAGGUGAUUCUCGCUAAUCAACAGAACAACGGAAAAUGAAGGGCACAUCAUCUGUUGGAUCAUUUCGAUCAUUCGCCAUUGAUCGAUGAAUAAAUGGUGGCAGGUGAUUUAACUACACAUAAACAUUAAUUAGGAUCUUAGAAGGCUAGUAGGAAAGAGGCAUGUAAACUUCGAUUCAAUGUCUCAACCGUAUGAGACUAAAUACUGAGGAGCACCAGCUCUCGUCCCUGGUGCAAUUGAAGCCGCUGGGCACUGGCCUAGACAUGGGCCACGGACCCAUUCCAAAGAUUUAAACUGAGCCUCGUUCCCGCCGACGGCUCAAUGGCAAUUCCGCAAAUACCCCGUAUCUGCACCCAAGAAAUUACCCCAUAUAAACUCGGCAUCCAUGUUUCUCCCAGAACUCAAGAACUCCCCUCUCCUCUCUCUCCUCCCACUCUCCCUCACCAACGGCGACCACGAACCACCCGCUCCUCCUCGCCGUCCUGCUCCUCUCGCUAUUCCCCCGCCGGGGGGACUGAAUCUCCGAUCGAGAGCUCGACGCCACCAUCUCCGCCCUCCGGCCUCGCGGUUACCAGUUCUUUGGCGACGCCAUCGCCGCGUCCGACCUUCGUUUUGACCUCCUCCGUCUCAACUCCUCCCACACCCUAUUCGCCCCCACCGACUUUGUCCUCUUUGCGCCUCCGCCGCCGCCGACUUCCGCUCUCUCCGCGAGCACGUCGCCCUCCGCCGCCGCCGACGUCCGCCCUCUCCGCGACCACGUCGCCCUCCGCCGCCGCCGACGUCCGCCCUCUCCGCGACCACGUCGCCCUCCGACGCCUCCCUCUUCCCGCCCUACCUCCCUCCCCACCGUCGUUCCCCACCGCGACAUCCGCCCUCGCCCGCCACCGCCAGCCCCGGAUCGCCGACUUCGCCAUCGCCGACGUCUGGAACGUCGUCCUCGCCCUCCACCGCCACAAGGCCUCUGGCAGACCCGUUCCUCCCCCAAGACCGCCCGAUCUCCAUCUCCCUCGGUACCCGUCCGCCGAUCCGCCUGAUACGCCAGCUUCGGCGCCGUCUCCGAUCGCGGAGCUCUUCCCAAUGUUGCCGGAGGCGCCGAUCCGGGAUCGAGAUCCACGUUUCCGGCGGUGGUUUCCCCGUCCUAUCUGGACGGAAUCCAGCUGCCAAUGGAGCCCGGAGUCGCGCCCAGAGGGAUAUCUUCGGCGAUCGAGGCUCCGAUUACCGGGGAGAUCAUGCAUCUGGGAGGGUAUCCCCCAGAAGGGACGACGAUGAAUUCUCCUGCGGCGAGUCCUACGGGGAUCGUGUCUCCUGAAGGGAGUCCGCUGAAAGGGAUCCAGGUGACGGCGUUUCCGAUGGCGAUGGGGUUUCUUGGAACCAAGCCUGAGCUCAUGGAUCGCCGUCCGUUGGGGGAGGAAGGGUCCCGCCUCUUCGCUAACUACCGUGGCCGCCCACGCCCGCGUCCGCAUGCCAGCGAUGACGCCUUAUGAUCGAUCAGAUGCCAAUCUUUAGGUCCCCGGGGGAACUUUUGCAAGAAUACAAGGGGCAUACCUGCAAGUCUUACAAGAUGAAUUGCUGCCCGACCAACACUGAUGCACAUGUUGCUGGUGGGUUUGAUGAUGGGUUUAUUUUCUUUUGGGAUUUAGUAGAUGCAUCUGUGGUUUCGAGAUUCCGAGCACAUGCCUCCGUGGUGUCCGAACGCAUACACUCAAUGGAGCCAGUCUCAUCAUUAACUUCUUGUGGGAUGCCUCUGGUAAGGUGUCCUUGCACAGUGGUGAGAACUCCAGCCGUGCACCUUCUUGAGAUUUGUUCAAAUCCUAAAAUUCAUGAGUUUGUCCAUUAAGCCUUUUGAUUGGUUGCUUUAGUUUCAGUUUGAGACGGUGCGCCACAACCCCACCCACCACAAGUCCUUAUCAAGUCCUGCAAAUCCCACAGCCGCGAAGCCUUUGACAUUUAUAUCCUAUCAUACUGUUCCUCUUCCAUUAUCACCUUUUCUAUAUUUAAUCGAGAGCUAGUAAAUUUUUCUUCCAUAACUAUUAGAAUAUAGAUAACUUUGUAUUAUAUAUCUUAAUGCAGGAUAAGGCGAAGCUAUGCUCGUGCAUUGGAAAUCGACAGGUGUUCUUUUGGGAUGUCAUGAUUGGGCGUGUCAUCAGGAAAUUCCGUGGUCAUGAUAGCGAAGUUAGAUUUCUACUUUUUCUUCUAACUUUGUAAAUUAUACUAUUUUUUCUUUCUAGAACUCGACUUAGCAUAUGUGAGAAAUAAAUACAUCAUCUUAAUUGAUCUUAUUUCAUAUAUAUUCUCCUUCAACAUAGCAUAGCAAAAGAUUAUGUAUAUCCGAUUAGUGCACAAACAAAUAGCUCAAAUAGUUUUGCGUUAGUAUAACAAAUGUCUAGGAUAUUAGAAAUCUGGUUCACAAAUAUUAAACAUCCUACACUAGGUUUUCUAUAUUCGUGGUCUCUAGAAGUUCUUGCACUUAGAUCUAGUUAAGAGCUAUUUAAUCUGAGUUUCAUAUAAUCAUUUUCCAAUAUGAGUUAUUAUACAAUCACGUCAUAUACAAAAUUAUGAAAGACAAGAAAUAUGAAAAUAAAGGAGAAAGAAUUAAAUUUAAUAUGGGAUAUAUUUAAAUGGAGCUGAAAAUAUCGCACCACCAACAAAAAGGCAACAUUUACACUAUAUAUAACCUCAGAAUCGAUUAAAGAUAUGGUAAUGAGUAAAGAAGAUGGCACAGAGCAUACUAAGAUUCGUACAAAAUGUGCGCAAGUAGCAAUUGGAGGACAAGAGGAUUGAAAUUUAGUUUGUUUUCUUUUUUAUUAUUCUAGUAAGCUAUAGCUUACCCAAGAAUGCCACCGAUUUAUGAAAAUAUAGUUAAAGUACAUUGUAGAGCAUGGUUAUCUAAAUUAAAUGCUUCACAGUACCUCCAUUCUGGGUCAAAAGACUUUAAUUUGUGGUCACAAUGUAAACCUAAAGUUUGCCAGAAAAAUGUUAUUGUCAAAUUUUUAAUUUGGCCGCCCACGACUGAACUAAAGUCAACAAUAGAAUAAUAAUAUUAAAGCAUAAAGAAGUCAAGUUUAGGAAAACAUUUAGAAUAUUGAGUUGUGAAAACAAAAUCAGAUUUAUCACUUUAGUGGAAAAAUGUAAGCAAGUUUUAAUAGUGACGCAGGCAAAGCAACAAAUUAAAUAAUUCAGAGGCAUAAAAUGUUCUACAGAAAAUGGAAACAAUAAUAAAACCCUCAAGGAAAAUUAAUACAACUAGAUUACCAUGCUAUGUUCCAGAAAAAUAUCAAGUAUUUUAAGUAAUAUCAAGUGAGCUAAGUAAGAUGCAUGCAAUAGAUCUCGCCAAUCAAAUGCCAAGUUUCCAUGCAUAUACAUCAGACAAUUCAAACUCACUCUGAGAAUCCACAAGAAGCUCUCCGUUGUUUUAAAAACAGAAAGCAUCCUCAACAGCCUUGGACUGUGUUUAGGUUCAGCUUUAUCCAAUUGCUUGAACUCCCCAACAAGAAAAGUUCAAAAUGUAAGGGUCUAUCUACCACCACAUUGUUCCACCAAAGCAAAAGCAUAUGCACUUGGAGCCAUUCUCUCCAGAAACUGCACUAUUCAAGACAUCACUAAGUCAUUAUUUAUAUAAACUGACCAUUUAGUUGAUAGUUGGACCCACUUGGCCUUGCUUCCUUUGGACAUGAAUCAAUUAAAUCUAACACAUUAAGAUAUAUAAAAGUUAAUCAAGCUGAAGCCAACUUUAAUUUAGCAAAUAAUAAACACUUCUUUUCUCUUAACUUUCUACUCUAUGCUUUUGUUAUUCUCCCUGACAUUUGCAAGGUGAGACCCUUUAGCAUCAUUUCAUUAUUUCAAUGACCUAGGUGGCUUACCACAGUUUCUCCAAUAGAAAUUAACAAAUAAUGAAAUCAAGGUCUACAGACACCUGAAUAAAAUGAAAACUCAUCCUUGAUGUCAAGGACACCAAUCCUACUAAUAAAUUCCACAAUUGCUAACAAUUUACUUCUGAUUGUUCUUUUUUUUUUGAAUAUGAGUGAAUUUGAAUAGAGAAGUAGGAAAAAAAUUUACCUUUUCCUUUGAAAGGAGCAAGAGGUCAUUUUCCAACACUUGUUCUCGGAACUCAUCAAGAACUGCCAAUGGCACGUUACGAAACCCAUCGGCUUCAACUAAGGAAGCCAUUUAAACCGGUAAAAAAAAUUGACUGUGUUUUGUAAUAUGUUGUGAUGAAAGAUUAGAUUUUUCAAUAAAGAAGGCUUUUGUUAAUAAGGGACUGUGAAUACCGUUGAUUCUCAGGUUAAUCAUGAUACGACUAUGUUAUCUUUUAGAUAGAUUUUUCUAUUAUUGAUAUGCUAAAGAAAAUUUUGAGUAUGUCAUGAUUAGGGUGAUUUGAUCAUUGGUUAAAUAUGAUCUAAAUUUUUAAGAAACCAAAUAAGUCUUGUGUUAAUUUUUCCCUCUUUAUGAUUUAUAAAUUUAAGUUAAAUUUAAAUCUUUGUGGCAUAUUGAAUCAUGGUAUCAAUACUUUGCCUUAUCGGACUUGCUCUUGUGAACUGAGGUCAAUCAUUUUUGAAAUAGACCAUUGGUGUUUAAUGACCAUCAUUACAUGUUCAUUUUGUGAAUCAUAUUUCCAGCCAUAUAAAGAUUUGAUACUAAUAAGGUUGGUCAUUAUCUUUCAUGGAUCAGCACGCUACCCUAAUAAUUGUAUUAGAUCCAUUGUAUUGGAUCAAUUUUAUUUCAAGUUCUAUCCCAAAUAUUAUUAAUUUAGUCGAUCUUGUUGUGAAUUGAUCCCAAUCCGAUCUAGAGUGAACCUGCAUCAAUCUUAGAUUUUAGUUAGACACUUAUCUAGUGCCAAUCUUGCUAGUUUAUAUGAAAUUUUUGAUAAUUGAUUCAAAGUUAUCUAUCACACUGAUUUUGAUCGAGAAGAAUAAGAUCUUGGAUUUAUGUUUCUCAAUGGGCUAAGCAUCUCUAAAUUGGAAGGUCUAGAUUCUUUAAAUCUUGAGGACAAUUUUUUUAAAGAGGGAAGAAUAUAAGACCAGUCCCAAAAUGGGCCAUAUUGGACUGAAGUCGGCAGGCCCAACCUACUUUAAUCCAAUUUGGAUAGAAGAAGCACAAUAGAGGAUCAUGAAGAAAGGAGGAGAGAAUGUAAGACCAGGGCCAAAAUGGGCCAUAUUGGACUAAAGUCGAUAGGCCCAAUCAACUUCAGUCCAAUUUGGAUAGAAGAAGCAGAACAGAGGAUUGCGAUUACGAUCCUCUGUUUCACCUUCCUCGGGCGUAACAGGGGUAGGUUCCGUGGCAGCCCCAUGACAGCCUGAACAAUCGCCGAUCUUGCUCAACCGUUGUGAUAAUUGUGGUAGUGAAUGAGUCGACCCAGUUUGGAAACCCUCCUAUAAAAUUCUGCCCCCCUACGGUUGAUCCACCGUCGAGCGUUCUCCUCCCUUUCCUCCCUCCUUCUCCCUUCGAUGGCCAAUAAGCGCCAUGCCUUGAAAACCCUCUUGUUCCAUUACUCAUUUUUUUGUCGGAAGCGCCGCCGCCGCCGCUAGCCUGUCGGACUAGCUACCCUUGUCCGAGAACCAUCCCCUCCAGCAACUCACCAGUGAACUCCCCUUCUCCUUGUUCUUCUAUUGCUAGAUAAUCCGAGCCUCCUUUUUCUGUCCCGGCCCCAAACCGAGGACGCCCUCGGUUUUCCUCUUCUUGUCGGUCGCCACAGUAGCCGUCGGCCACUACUGCCGUCAGCCGCCCAGCUCGGCCGCCAUCGGAUCCUUUCCUCUCUUCCCUCUUCCCUCUUCUUUCUCUUUCCCUUUCCUCCUUUUUGAGUUUAUCAGGAUAAAGAACUCUUGUGGGCCGUGUCCAUCGUAGGUCGAGUUUGGGCCCUGUUCACCAUGUUGGGUCGUAUCCAUUGUGGGCCGAGUUCAAGCCCUGUUUAUUGUGUUGGGCCAUGUCUAUUUUGGGCCGAGCUCGGGCCCUGUUUAUCCUAUUGGAACGUAUCCAUUGUGGGCCAUGUUCAGGCCCUGUUCAUCCUAUUGGGCUGUAUCCAUUUUGGGCUGAGUUCGGCCCCUGUUCACCAUGUUGGGCCGUGUCCAUUAUGGGCUGAGUUUGCACCCUGUUCAUUAUGUUAGGCCGUGUCCAUUGUGGGCCGAGUUCGGAUCCUGUUCAUUCUGUUAGGUUGUAUCUAUUGUCGGACGAGUCUAUUCAUUUUAGGCCCUGUUCAUCUAUUAUAGGCCAUGAUUAUUUGGGCCAAGUUCAUUCAUUUUUGACCCUGCUCAUCUAUUAUGGGCCAUGUCCAUUCAUUUUGGGCCCUGUUCAUCUAUUGUGGGCUGAGUCUAGUUAUUUUGGGCCCUGUUCAUCCAUUGUGGGCCGUGUUUAUUUUGGGUCGUGUCUAUUUAUUUGGGCCCUAUUUAUCCAUUGUGGGCCGAGUCCAUUUAUUUUGGGCCCCAUUCAUCCAUUUUGAAAUGUGUUCAUUCAUUUUGGGCCCUAUCCAUCCACUGUGGGCCGAGUUCAUUCAUUUGGACUGUGUUCAUCCCCGUUUUAGGCUAAAAGGAAAAACAAAACUAGCCCUUGACUUUCUUUAAUCGAGUAGAUGUAGACCUUUCUCCUAAUGGUUGGGCCGCACUCAAACCGGGCCUGUGAUCAUGAUCAAAGCAAGAAUUGGACCGAGAUUCUCUCUCUAAGCUGGACCUAUGGAUCUUAGUUUAAAGUCCUGGCUUUCUUUUUGCUCAGAUCCAAGUUGAUCUCUAGGUGGACGACCUGUACUGCCUCGAUAUCCGGACGGUAAAUUGGCCCAUUGCUUCAACCCCACCUAGAUUUGACCAUCUUUGAUCUACACCAUUUCGGAUCCGGUCUUACAUUCUCCCCUCCAUAAGAAAACUUCGUCCUCGAAAUUUGAAGAACCUAGGCCUUCAAUUUAGAGAUGCUCGACCCAUUAACAUAAAUCUAAGAUCUCAUUCUCCUCGAUCAAAAUCAGUGCGAUAGAUAACUUUGGAUCGAUUAUGAAAAAUUUCAUAUAAACUAGCAAGAUUAGCACUAGAUAAGUGUUUAGCUAAAAUCUAAGAAUGAUGCAAGUUCACUCUAGAUCGGAUUGGGAUCAAUUCACAACAAGAUCGACUAAAUCAAUUGUAUUUGGGAUAGAACUUGAAAUAAAAUUGAUCCAAUACAAUGGAUCUAAUACAAUUAUUCUAGUAGAGUGCUGAUCCACGAAAGAUAAUGACCAACCUUAUUAGUAUCAAAUCUUUAUAUGGCUGGAAAUGUGAUUCACAAAAUGAACAUGUAAUGACGGUCAUUAAACACCAAUGGUCUAUUUCGAAAAUGAUUGGGCACAAUUCACAAGAGCAAGUCCGAUAAGGCAAAGUAUUGAUACCAUGAUUUAAUAUGCCACAAAGAUUUAAAUUUAGUUUAAAUUUAUAAAUCAUAAAGAGGGAACAAUUAACACAUGACUUAUUUGGUUUCUUAAAAAAUUAGAUCAUAUUUAACCAAUGAUCAACUCACCCUAAUCAUGAAAUACUCAAAAUUUUCUUUAACAUAUCAACAAUAGAAAAAUCUAUCUGAAAGAUAACAUGGUCGUAUCAUAAUUAACUUGAGAAUCAGCAAUAUUCACAUUCCCUUAUUAAGAAAAGCCUUCUUUAUUGAAAAAUCUAGUCUUCCAUCAUAACAUAUUAGAAAACACAGUCAACGUUUUUUACCAGUUUAAAUGGCUUCCUUAGUUGAGACCAAUGGGUUUCGUAACGUGCCGUUGGCAGUUCUUGAUGAGUUUCGAGAACAAGUUUUAGAAAAUGACUUCUUGCUCCUUUUAAAGAAAAAGGUACAAAUUUUUCCUACUUCUCUAUUCAAAUUCACUCAUAUUCAAAAAAAAAAAAAAUAGAAGUAAAUUGUUAGCAAUUGUGGAAUUUAUUGGUAGGACUGGUGUGCUUGAUAUCAGGGAUGAGUUUUCAUUUUAUUCAAGUGUCCAUAGACCUUGAAUUUCAUUAUUUGUUAAUUUCUAUUGGAGAAAUUGUGGUAAGCCAUCUAUUUCAUUGACAUAAUAAAAUGAUGCUGAAGGGUCUUACCCUUCAGAUGUCAGAGAGAAUAACAAAAGCAUAGAGUAGAAAGUUAAGAGAAAAGAAGUGUUUAUUAUUUGCUAAAUUGAAGUUGGCUUCGGCUCAAUUAACUUUUAUAUAUCUUAAUGUGUCAGAUUUAGCUGAUUCUUGUCUAAAUGAAACAAGGCCAAGUGAGUCCAGUUAUUAACUAGAUGGUCAGUUUAUAUAAAUAAUGACUUAGGGAUGUGUUGCAUAGUGCAGUUUUUGGAAGGAAUGGCUCCAAGUGCGUAUGCUUUUGCCUCGGUGGAACAAUGUGGUGGUAGAUAGACCGUUACACUUUGAACUUUUCUUCCUGGAGAGUUCAAGUAAUUGGAUCAAGCUGAACCUGAACACAGUCCAAGGCUAUUGAGGAUGCUUUCUAUUUUUAAAACAACGGAGAGCUUCUUGUAGAUUCUCAGAGUUAGUUUGAAUUGUCUGAUGUAUAUGCACGAAAACUUGGCACUUGAUUGGCGAGAUCUAUUGCAUGCAUCUUACUUAGCUCAAUUGAUAUUGCUUAAAACACUUGAUAUUUUUAUGGAACAUAGCAUGGUUGUCUAGUUGUGUUAAUUUUCCUUGGGGAUUUUAUCGUUGUUUCUAUUUUUUGUAGAACUUUUUAUAUUUCCGAAUUAUUUAAUUUGCUGCUUUGCCUAUGUCACUAUUGGAACUUGCUUCCAUUUUUCCAGUGAAGUGAUAAAUCUGAUUUUGCUUUCACAACUCAAUAUUGUGACGGUUUCCUAAACUUGAAUUCUUUAUGCUUUAAUAUUAUUAUUCUAUUGUUGAUUUUAGUUCAGUCGUGGGUGACCAAAUUUAAAAUUUGACAAUAACAUUUUUGGCAGACUUUAGGUUUACAUUGUGACUACAAAUCAAGAUAUUUUGACCCAGAAUGGAGGUUACCAUGAAGCAUUUAAUUUAGAUAACCAUGUUCUACAGUGUACUUUAACUAGUUUUUCAUAAAUUAGUGGCAUUCUUGGGUAAGCUAUUGCUUACUUGAAUAAAAAAAGGAAAACAAACUAAAUUUCAAUCCUCUUCUCCUCCAAUUGCUAGCAUACAUUUUGUACGAAUCUUAGUAUGUUCUGUGCCACCUUCUUUACUCUUUGCCAUAUUUUUGAUCGAUUCCAAGGUUAUAUAUAGUUUUAUUGUUGCCUUUUUGUUGGUGAUGUCAUAAAUUCAGCGCCAUUUAAAUAUACCCCUUGUUAAAUUUAAUUCUUUCUCCUUUAACUUCAUAUUUUCUGUCUUUUAUAAUUCUGUAUAUGCUGUGAUUGUAUAAUAACUCAUAUUGGAAAAUGAUUUUAUGAAACUUAGAUUAAAUAGCUCUUAACUAGAUCUAAGUGCAAGAACUUCUAGAGACCAUGAAUAUAGAAAAUCUAGUAUAGGAUAUCUAACAUUUGUGGACCAGAUUUCUAAUAUCCUAGACAUCUGUUAUAAUAACGCAAAACCAUUUUAGCUGUUUGUGUGUGCACUAAUCGAAUAUACAUAAUCUUGUGCCAUGCCAUGUUGAAGGAGAAUAUAUGUGAAAUGAGAUCAAUCAGGAUGAUGCAUUUAUCUCUCACAUAUCUUAAGUCCUGGAAAGAAAAAAUAGUAUAAUUCACAAAAUAAGAAGAAAAAGUAGAAACCUAACCUUGCUAUCAUGACUACGGAAUUUUCUAAUGAGGCAGCCAGUUGAGAUAUCCCAAAAGAACACCUGCCGAUCUCCACUGCACGAGCAUAGCUUCGUUGGGCUUGCCAAUGCCCGCGAGCUCUCCUCCGUGGAACCCGCCAUUAGCCCUUUCGAGGCCCGGAUCACCUCCAACGGGGGGCUAGUUGACUGCUGGAAUGCACUGCGGGACCUGAAAUCAUGCACCAACGAGAUCUUGCUCUUCUUCAUGAGCGGCGAGACAUACCUGGGAGUCGUGCCUGGGACUCCAAGUACCUGGGAUCCCCAAGUCCGCUUCUUUAUGUGAAUAAGUCCGGUGCCACUCCUAUUUCCAAUUACAUUGGUGGGGUUUACUUGAGCGUUGCUACAAAGUUUGAUUGGGCUUAUACUGAUGUACUUGUCUUGUCUUGGAUCUAAAUUAAUUAUGGAUACUUUAGUUCAUAUGCUGAUUUAUAUAUGUGUUGUCUUAUCAUUGCAGAAUAUUUUACCUUAUAUGUGCAUCUGUGAGCAGUGUAUUGUACAUACGGUUUUUUGACAUAGACCAUUCUUCAUUUCUUCAUCGAUUUCUUUUUCAAUAUAGGGUUUGGAUAUGGGAUCUUAACAUAAACUUGUUAGCACCAUGUUCUAUGUAUAUGUACUUGCAUUACAAGAUUGUCUUCCCUUCUAGACCAAGAUAUGAAGAAUGGCCCAACUAUAUUGGUCUCUGUUGAAGUUUAUUCCAGGCAAUAUCUCUAAGAGAAAAAGUUUAUGAUCCUAUGAUAUGCUUCCAUGGUAUAGAAAAUUGCCCUACUUUCCGAUCUCCACAGAUUGUUUGCUUCCCAGUUUUGAUUUUGAUGAAGUGUUCUUUAUCUUUCGCAACUCCUUGCUCAUCAGCAUGCUCAACUAUAUGUUCUUUCUCAUUACCGUCUUUCCAUUUUUUCCUGGAGUCAUGCAUAGACAUAUCUUUUAAACCACUUUGAUCUCUAAGUAGUGCUAAUAUUCAAUCUAUAGUUCGCGUAUCAGAUUUCUGGCUUCUUUUGUGAUAAUUUAGGCAUUUUCAGAAUUCAUAUACUGUUCUCAAAUUAGUGCCCUUCAAAUACCCCUUCAUUCUUUUCUCCUCAUCUAUCAAUAUUCAACCCAAAUCUUUGUUCUCCUGUCUUCAGUCUUCAACAAAUACCUGAUUAAGCGGUCUUCAUCUUGAACUUCUUGCAUUGCACCUUCCUUGACCAUGUUUUAUCAUAAUCAAUUCAAUUUCAUGCAUUUGAACGAAAAGAUGACCCAUACUCUCUUCUUGAAGUGGAUGCCUUGGGCGUGAACUAUCUGGUCAUGAUAUCAUUCUGAAUCAGUACGAUGCACUUCUUUAAACAUGAGUUUGUGCUUCCCAUUUUGUAGUUGAAAUACCUUUCAUUUGAAAACUCAUGGUGAUUUCAAACACUUUACAGAAAAGUUGUGCUCACAAAAGGCAUGAAUGCCAUGUCCGAAAUGAUGCUGAGAUACUCUAGGGGCACAUUUGUUUGCUUGUAAGUGUCUGACAUGUCUGAACUUGGGUUCUAAUCAGAUGCUUGUUUCACUGUACUGAAGUCAAGUUAUUGCCACUUCAGCUGUUUCUUUUGCACGAAAUUGGUGCAUAGGAUGCGCAAUUUUUCCCACAUACAUCGUUAGAUUAUAUACAGUAAUGGUCAGUAUAUUAUUCACUUAAAUGGUUCAUUUCAAAGGACGGAGCGAGUGGGAGAGCAUUAAAUUUGCAUUAAAUUUUUGCUUAUCCACUCCCCCCUCUCUUUCUCAAACAACAAAAAAAAAACUUUUGCCUUUUUGGGUGGAUGGGAAACUUAUAUUUUAGUGUUCGGGCUUGUUACAUAAAAACAAACAGUUAGAAGUACCCACUUCCAACUGCGCUCGACUUCAGGCCCCUCGGUUAUGAGGAAAAUACGUAUCCUAGAAGCAUGAUACAUGAGUCCAAUGUAACUGGCCUAAUCCAUCACAUAACUUACUUAGCAUUUUGAGGCUUUUAACCUGCAACCUGCUAUGCCAUCUUGUGCCAUUGGAUAUAAAAUUCAACAAACACAGAUUUCCUAUUUCAUAUCAAACGUCUGGAGGAACAUGUGAAAUUUUGAGUAAUCAGCAAAAAUUUCAAGAUGGGAAGCUCGUGAUCAAUAAUAACAAUGUUUAGUCCAUCAUAAGCUUCCACUUUUCCACCUUACAUAAAAUCUCUUUCUUUUCCCCAUGAAUUUCAACACAAGAUUCCUGCAUGUCAAACAUUCUCGAAAGAAUUAGUGAUCACAUUAUAUGAACUUGAGAUAAAAGCUUUGUCAACCCAACUUAUUCGAAGGAACCCUGGAUGACAGAUCCUGAAACUCUUGGUUGAGGGAAAAUUUUAAGCAAUCGCGAUCUGAGGCCUACAUCAUCUCCAUAUUAUUGCCAGAAAAACUCUGGUUUGAUGUCUACCUUUAUUUCUUGCCAGCAGCACUUUUUUUCUCAUCACAGAUCACUGUGAAUCCAUGACAUAAAAUAUGCUGCUGAAAAGAUUUGUCAGGUCAUCUUUAUUAUUUUAUAGUAGUAGUGCUGUAGGUGGUAUAUUGGUAUGUAGCUUAAGUUUGUCAGUUGUGACAAUCACCAGAAUUCUUAUUAUUUAGUUUUAAUUGUUUGUACAAUGUGAUUAUGCAGUGUUACUCUUCUGGUGCAACUUCUUUUUCCCCUUAAAUACUAACAUUGUUGGUAGUUUCUUUUUGUUUGUUGGGAGAAGAUAAUGACAGUGCCUAGAAAAGAGAAGAAAAGAGAGGCUAGGAGUGAGGAAAAGGCUGAAGUUCUGGAUAAGAGUAUCGAGAAUGAAUUGUUGGAACGGCUCAAGAAAGGUGUUUAUGGUGACAUACAACUAUCCCGUUGAGGCAUAUAAUAAUGUCCUUGAAAUGGAGGGGCUACAACCCAGCGUUGAGGAAGAAGCUGAAUCAAGAUAGUAUUGAACGUGUGAAGAUGUGGAUGAUAGACAAAAGACACAUAUGUGAGGUUAAGACGAAGAGCUUAUUUCGUUCACAUUGGCAUCUGGCACUGCUUGUGUUGUUAACAUGUUUCGCGAGGUUAUCCUACGGAAAGCACUUGGCAGAAGCGGCAAGAGGAUAAUCUUCCCUCGCCUUAGGAUGAAAUUUUGAAGGGGGUGCCUGCGGAUGAAUAUUUUCAUGAGUUUGAUACAGUAUAGAUCCAAAAUAUUCAUGCGAAGUUCUUUUAAAAGGCAUAUUUUAUGUUUUAUUGCCCUUGUAUUUUUCUCGCCAUGAUAAAUAGGGCUUGUUAAUUUUGA